rnacentral:tRNA from 1 species
AGGGUAAUAGCACAGUGGUAGAGUGAGUGCUUAGCAUGCACAAGGUCCUGGGUUCAAUCCUCAGUACCUCCA